rnacentral:rRNA from 1 species
UACACUCCUACGGGAGGCAGCAGUGGGGAAUUUUGGACAAUGGGCGAAAGCCUGAUCCAGCAAUGCCGCGUGAGUGAAGAAGGCCUUCGGGUUGUAAAGCUCUUUUGUCAGGGAAGAAACGGUGAAAGCUAAUAUCUUUUGCUAAUGACGGUACCUGAAGAAUAAGCACCGGCUAACUACGUGCCAGCAGCCGCGGUAAUACGUAGGGUGCAAGCGUUAAUCGGAAUUACUGGGCGUAAAGCGUGCGCAGGCGGUUUUGUAAGUCUGAUGUGAAAUCCCCGGGCUCAACCUGGGAAUUGCAUUGGAGACUGCAAGGCUAGAAUCUGGCAGAGGGGGGUAGAAUUCCACGUGUAGCAGUGCAAUGCGUAGAUAUGUGGAGGAACACCGAUGGCGAAGGCAGCCCCCUGGGUCAAGAUUGACGCUCAUGCACGAAAGCGUGGGGAGCAAACAGGAUUAGAAACCCCGGUAGUCCC